AGAGUUUGAUCAUGGCUCAGGAUGAACGCUAGCUACAGGCUUAACACAUGCAAGUCGCGGGGCAGCAUGUUGGUUGCUUGCAACCGAUGAUGGCGACCGGCGCACGGGUGAGUAACGCGUAUCCAACCUACCUAUUACCACGGGAUAACCCGGCGAAAGUCGGACUAAUACCGUAUGUUGUCCUCCAAUGGCAUCAGCAGUGGACUAAAGGUUUGGCGGUAAUAGAUGGGGAUGCGUCCGAUUAGCUAGUUGGUGAGGUAAUGGCUCACCAAGGCUUCGAUCGGUAGGGGUUCUGAGAGGAAGGUCCCCCACACUGGAACUGAGACACGGUCCAGACUCCUACGGGAGGCAGCAGUGAGGAAUAUUGGUCAAUGGGCGAGAGCCUGAACCAGCCAAGUAGCGUGCAGGAAGACGGCCCUAUGGGUUGUAAACUGCUUUUAUAGGGGAAUAAAGUGAUCUACGUGUAGUUUAUUGUAUGUACCCUAUGAAUAAGGACCGGCUAAUUCCGUGCCAGCAGCCGCGGU
rnacentral:rRNA from 1 species